GGUCAUAGCUCAGUGGUAGAGUGCUUCCCUAGCAUGUAUGAGACAAAUUGGGUUCAAUUCUCAGCACCG
rnacentral:tRNA from 1 species